CCUACGGGAGGCUGCAGUGAGGAAUAUUUGUCAAUGGACGAGAGUCUGAACCAGCCAAGUAGCGUGAAUGAUGACUGCCCUAUGGGUUGUAAACUUCUUUUAUAUGGGAAUAAAAUGUUCCACGUGUGUGAUUUUGUAUGUACCAUAUGAAUAAGGAUCGGCUAACUCCGUGCCAUCAGCCGCGGUAAUACGGAGGAUCCGAGCGUUAUCCGGAUUUAUUGGGUUUAAAGGGAGCGUAGGUGGAUUGUUAAGUCAGUUGUGAAAGUUUGCGGCUCAACCGUAAAAUUGCAGUUGAAACUGGCAGUCUUGAGUACAGUAGAGGUGAGCGGAAUUCGUGGUGUAGCGGUGAAAUGCUUAGAUAGAACGAAGAACUCCGAUUGCGAAGGCAGCUCACUGGACUGCAACUGACACUGAGGCUCGAAAGUGUGGGUAUCAAACAGGAUUAGAUACCCUUGUAGUC
rnacentral:rRNA from 1 species